UGGGGAAUAUUGCACAAUGGGCGCAAGCCUGAUGCAGCCAUGCCGCGUGUAUGAAGAAGGCCUUCGGGUUGUAAAGUACUUUCAGCGGGGAGGAAGGUGUUGUGGUUAAUAACCACAGCAAUUGACGUUACCCGCAGAAGAAGCACCGGCUAACUCCGUGCCAGCAGCCGCGGUAAUACGGAGGGUGCAAGCGUUAAUCGGAAUUACUGGGCGUAAAGCGCACGCAGGCGGUCUGUCAAGUCGGAUGUGAAAGCCCCGGGCUCAACCUGGGAACUGCAUCCGAAACUGGCAGGCUUGAGUCUUGUAGAGGGGGGUAGAAUUCCAGGUGUAGCGGUGAAAUGCGUAGAGAUCUGGAGGAAUACCGGUGGCGAAGGCGGCCCCCUGGACAAAGACUGACGCUCAGGUGCGAAAGCGUGGGGAGCAAACA
rnacentral:rRNA from 1 species